GAUGAACGCUGGCGGCGUGCCUAAUACAUGCAAGUAGAACGCUGAAGGAGGAGCUUGCUCUUCUGGAUGAGUUGCGAACGGGUGAGUAACGCGUAGGUAACCUGCCUGGUAGCGGGGGAUAACUAUUGGAAACGAUAGCUAAUACCGCAUGACAACAGUUAUUGCAUGAUAACUGUUUAAAAGGGGCAACUGCUCCACUACCAGAUAGACCUGCGUUGUAUUAGCUAGUUGGUGAGGUAACGGCUCACCAAGGCGACGAUACAUAGCCGACCUGAGAGGGUGAUCGGCCACACUGGGACUGAGACACGGCCCAGACUCCUACGGGAGGCAGCAGUAGGGAAUCUUCGGCAAUGGACGGAAGUCUGACCGAGCAACGCCGCGUGAGUGAAGAAGGUUUUCGGAUCGUAAAGCUCUGUUGUAAGAGAAGAACGAGUGUGAGAGUGGAAAGUUCACACUGUGACGGUAUCUUACCAGAAAGGGACGGCUAACUACGUG
rnacentral:rRNA from 1 species